rnacentral:tRNA from 1 species
GCACUAGUAGCUCAGCUUUCAGAACGUCG